GAUUCCCUUCAUUCCAAGGAAAGGAAAAUUGAUGGCACCAGUGACAACCUUUGCUCCUUGAUUGACAACAUAAGUCAGCUAAUCAGAGUGAAAACAGGAUGGAAAUGUACAGAGUGGCCAUGCGUCGAGCCUCUUCACCAUCACCAGGAGGAUAGUUACAACUGUGGAGUCAUCAUUUGUCUGUAUAGUUUGCCAGACGUCUAGCUAAAGGACUUAACUGC